rnacentral:rRNA from 1 species
GCAUAUCAAUAAGCGGAGGAAAAGAAACCAACAGGGAUUGCCCUAGUAACGGCGAGUGAAGCGGCAACAGCUCAAAUUUGAAAGCUGGCUCCGGCCCGCGUUGUAAUUUGCAGAGGAUGCUUCUGGCAAGGUGCCUUCCGAGUUCCCUGGAACGGGACGCCAUAGAGGGUGAGAGCCCCGUAUGGAUGGACACCAAGCCUGUGUGAAGCUCCUUCAACGAGUCGAGUAGUUUGGGAAUGCUGCUCAAAAUGGGAGGUAAAUCUCUUCUAAAGCUAAAUAUUGGCCAGAGACCGAUAGCGCACAAGUAGAGUGAUCGAAAGAUGAAAAGCACCUUGAAAAGGGGGUUAAACAGUACGUGAAAUUGUUGAAAGGGAAGCGCUUGUGACCAGACUUGCGCCGGGCAGCUCAUCAGGGGUUCUCCCCUGUGCACUCUGCCCGGCUCAGGCCAGCAUCGGUUCUCGUGGGAGGAUAAGAACAGUGGGAACGUGGCCCCCCUCCGGGGGGGUGUUAUAGCCCAUUGUACGAUACUCUCGUGGGGACCGAGGUUCGCGCUCCGCAAGGAUGCUGGCGUAAUGGUCAUCAGCGACCCGUCUUGAAACACGGACCAAGGAGUCGUCCAUUAGAGCGAGCGUUUGGGUGUAAAACCCGCACGCGUAAUGAAAGUGAACGCAGGUGAGAGCUUCGGCGCAUCAUCGACCGAUCCUGAUGUCUUCGGAUGGAUUUGAGUAAGAGUUUUAACGGACGGACCCGAAAGACAGUGAACUAUGCUUGAAUAGGGUGAAGCCAGAGGAAACUCUGGUGGAGGCUCGCAGCGGUUCUGACGUGCAAAUCGAUCGUCAAAUUUGAGCAUGGGGGCGAAAGACUAAUCGAACUGUCUAGUAGCUGGUUACCGCC